GGACGAACGCUGGCGGCGUGCUUAACACAUGCAAGUCGAACGGUGAAGCAGAGCUUGCUCUGUGGAUCAGUGGCGAACGGGUGAGUAACACGUGAGUAACCUGCCCUUGACUCUGGGAUAAGCGUUGGAAACGACGUCUAAUACUGGAUACGACGACCGAAGGCAUCUUCUGGUUGUGGAAAGAAUUUUGGUCAAGGAUGGACUCGCGGCCUAUCAGCUUGUUGGUGAGGUAAUGGCUCACCAAGGCGACGACGGGUAGCCGGCCUGAGAGGGUGACCGGCCACACUGGGACUGAGACACGGCCCAGACUCCUACGGGAGGCAGCAGUGGGGAAUAUUGCACAAUGGGCGCAAGCCUGAUGCAGCAACGCCGCGUGAGGGAUGACGGCCUUCGGGUUGUAAACCUCUUUUAGUAGGGAAGAAGCGAAAGUGACGGUACCUGCAGAAAAAGCACCGGCUAACUACGUG
rnacentral:rRNA from 1 species